AUUGAACGCUGGCGGCAGGCCUAACACAUGCAAGUCGAGCGGAGCGGCGGACGGGUGAGUAAUGCCUGGGAAUCUGCCUGGUAGUGGGGGAUAACGUCCGGAAACGGGCGCUAAUACCGCAUACUAUCAGAUGAGCCUAGGUCGGAUUAUCUAGUUGGUGAGGUAAAGGCCUACCACGGCGACUAUCCGUAACUUGUCUGAGAGGAAGAUCAGUCACACUGGAACUGAGACACGGUCCAGACUCAUACGGGAGGCAGUGGGUGGGAAUAUUGGACAAUGGGCGAAAGCCUGAUCCAGCCAUGCCGCGGGUGUGAAGAAGGUCUUCGGAUUGUAAAGCACUUUAAGUUGGGAGGCGUUACCAAAAGAAUAAGCACCGGCUAACUUCGUGCCAGCAGCCGCGGUAAUUC
rnacentral:rRNA from 1 species